UACGUAGGGAGCAAGCGUUGUCCGGAAUCAUUGGGCGUAAAGCGCGCGUAGGCGGCCUCAUAAGUCCGUUGUGAAAGUCAAAGGCUCAACCUUUGAAAACCGAUGGAUACUGUGAGGCUAGAGUCCGGAAGAGGCGAGUGGAAUUCCUGGUGUAGCGGUGGAAUGCGCAGAUAUCAGGAGGAACACCAAUAGCGAAGGCAGCUCGCUGGGACGGUACUGACGCUAAGGCGCGAAAGCGUGGGGAGCGAACAGG
rnacentral:rRNA from 1 species